GAUUCGGCGACUAUCCCGCGGAAUAUAAUCCGAAAGUUCACGGACCGUACGAUCCUGCUCGGUACUACGGUAAACCC
rnacentral:lncRNA from 1 species